UUUCCGUAGGUGAACCUGCGGAAGGAUCAUUAUUGUAUAACCGAGGUGCGAGGGCUGUCGCUGACCCGAAAGGUCGUGCACGCCCGAGUGCCCUCACACACAUCCAUCUCACCCCUAUGUGCACCACCGCGUGGGUCCCCCUUUGGCUUGUUCGGAGGGGGGCUUACGUUUUCACACGGACUUUGUAUGCAGUGUAGAAUGUAUUUUUUGUUUUUGCGAUCACGCAAUCAAUACAACUUUCAACAACGGAUCUCUUGGCUCUC
rnacentral:misc_RNA from 1 species